AAACGACUCUCGGCAACGGAUAUCUCGGCUCUCGCAUCGAUGAAGAACGUAGCGAAAUGCGAUACUUGGUGUGAAUUGCAGAAUCCCGUGAACCAUCGAGUCUUUGAACGCAAGUUGCGCCCCAAGCCUUCUGGCGAGGGCACGUCUGCCUGGGUGUCAC
rnacentral:rRNA from 1 species